CAACAAAACCUAAAACCAAAGAGAGAGCUUUUAAUCCCACUGCAAUAACCAAAAUCAAAAUUCUCCUUCUAAUCUGUUCACGAUACUUUUCCAAUCCGAUUUGUGUGACUUGCGAACAUUUUUCCCGAUUUUUCAAUCGAUUACUCCUCUCACUCAAUUUUGGAUUUGAAAAAUUGGAAUCGCUAAGUUUGUUGCUACGUUUUGGUUCCUGUACAUCACUGUUUUGACAGUUAUGGGUGUGAAGAGGUCACCGAGCAUGUGUGCUUCCAUCGGGAUUCUAAGGAUCGCUUGGCCUUUCGGUGGUAUGAUCUUCGUUCUCAUUUCUACACCGCUGGUAUCUUCGGUAAGUCUAAUCACCUUCUCAAUCUUAUGAUUUCACUCUCUGAUUUUGAAUUUCUUCAGAUUCUUCGUACAUCCUAUCUUUAGCCAGGAACAAAUUAGUGUUUACAAAUGUAUAAGUCGGUAUGAUUCAAUGUUAGUUUCACGGUAGGGAUGGAGACUUCAAAUUUUGUUUCUAUUGGAAGUCUGAUUUUGGGAUGAACUUUUGUUGGGCAUAAGCCGAUGAAAAAUCGAGUACCAGAAAAAUGUUGAAAUCGAUUGUGCGAAGAAACGACGCGGUCACUCGGAUUCAUUAGUGGUUAGUCAUUUGCAUACAAGAUACAUAGUUGAUAUGAGAUCCAUGGACUCCACAGUUUCAAAAUUCAAUCGUCUUCGGGAUGAACAACUAUACUUAAAGCUCCUUCACCUUGUCGAUGCGUAAGCUCAUGGCAGUUGGUGAGAUUUCGACAGUUGGAAGAUGGUGUUAGAUAGUGCUUUCAACUAAUGGAAGAUGGUGUUAUAUAGUGUUUGAGAAACAUGGAGAGAAGAAAAGGAAAGAAGAAGAAAAGAAAGAGAAAGUAGAAGCUGAAUAAAAAGCCGUUAGAAUAAGACGCAACAGUGUAUUUUAUUUGGAAAGAACGAAAUCUCUGUGUGCAUUCCUCUUCCUUUACUUCAUCGGCCCAGAUUAUCAAGAUGGUAAUCAGAGCUCGGAUCAACUCUCUUGGGAUGUCUACUCGUCCCACGCAAUCAUGGCGCCCCCCUCUCCUCCAUACUUGGUUUGAAGUGUUCCAACCAGAGUAUUAGCUCUAUUUCACCUCCUUGUAUUAUUAUAUUACUUCCUUCUUUCUGUUCGGUUGUAUUCGCAGGGUCUGCUGUUUUCUUGUUCGGUUAGGAUGGUGUUCGACCAAUCCUUUGCUUUUUUGGGCCUAUGGUUAUGUUGGACUUUUAAAGCCUUGUAAGCUAAAUUUUAAUUAAUUAAAACAAUAUUAAAAG